rnacentral:tRNA from 1 species
GAAAUAUUUUAAUAGAACUUCUAAUUCUUUUCCAGUGAACUUUAAUUCAUUAAUAUUUCU